rnacentral:rRNA from 1 species
UACGGAGGGUGCGAGCGUUGUCCGGAAUCACUGGGCGUACAGGGCGCGUAGGCGGCGCGAGCAGUCGAUCGUGAAAGUCCGGAGCUCAACUCCGGAUCGGCGGUCGAUACUCUCGUGCUUGAGCACUGUAGAGGCAGAUGGAAUUCCGGGUGUAGCGGUGGAAUGCGUAGAGAUCCGGAAGAACACCGGUGGCGAAGGCGGUCUGCUGGGCAGUGACUGACGCUGAGGUGCGAAAGCCAGGGGAGCGAACGGG